GGUGAGCACAAUGGCGUAUGCCUGUAAUCCCAGCAGCUGGGAGGCUGAGGCAGGAGGAUCACGAGUUCAAAGCCAGCCUCAGCAAUUUAGCAAGGCCCUAAGCAACUAAGUGAGACCCUGUCUCUA
rnacentral:sRNA from 1 species